CAAAAACAGACAGUAACCAGUCAAAAUAUAAAAAAGGGUCAGGAGGAAUUGAAACGUAAUAUUCUCAAAAAUGUCAGCCACUCGAGAUUGGAAUCUUGAUUGCAAAGUGUAUGUGGGGGAGAUAGGUUAUGGUACAGUUAAACAAGACUUGGAAGAUGUUUUCUCCGAGUAUGGCCCUCUGAAAAAUGUGUGGGUGGCCCGCAACCCUCCAGGCUUCGCAUUUGUUGAGUUUGAAGAUUACCGAGAUGCAAAAGAUGCUGUGGACGCCCUAGAUGGAACGCGUAUAAAUGGUAGACGAGCGCGGGUAGAGAUGUCGUCUGGGAAGUCGCGCUGGGGCAGCCAGGGUCCACCACCAAGAAGAGGGCCUCGAUAUGGAGGCGGGGACCGUCGCAGAUCCAGGGUCAAGUCACUCCACUCAGUCAUCCGUCUCAACAAACAACAUUAUCUCCCCUUGAUACUCAUCCCCAAUCAACGAUCUGCCAUUCAACUUAAAAUCUCUCAUCUCGAUUGGGUUGGGUCAGCUGCAGCGCUUAGCAACGUCUGUCGUCAAAACAACGACCUAUUGACCUUUGUUGACAUUGAUCAGCACAACUAUUAACAACCUUUCAACCAUAGAAAAAUUAUGCAGCCAAAAUAUACCAACUUUAAAACAACUUAACUGCAAAGAUGUGCUAUGUGGUUUUGUUUGAAGCUCAGACAAUUAUAUGUAAUAUAAAAUAAUAGACUUUAUAAUACCCCUGGCCGCAAUAUUGUAAGACUUCUGAAGGCAAUUCUCAAUCUCUACUCAUUUUACCACAGAACUGCACAGAAUGAUUCAAAAUGUGGUAUGUUUUACUGUUUUUAAAAGCGCAUUCUCUCAUAGGUUUUGUUGAUAAAAGUCAAUAUUUAACAGGAAAAUAAUUCUGGAGCAAAAAUUCUUUAUUUUGUAGUUAUUGUUCAAGUGCAUUUUGUGUUCUAGAAUUUUUUUUUUAGGUUAUUGAGUAAUGAUGUUUAUCAACAUAAUACGUGAGAGAUUGUGCCUUUUGAAAGACUAAAUCAUUGGUUAUUUUGAAUCAUGCCAUGCUUUAAAGCGGAAAAUUUAAUUGAGUUUGAAACAUGACUAGAGAAUUUCGUGAUAUUGGGGCCUGGGUUUGAAGCCUGUGAUAUGGUCAUGUUUGUUUUAUCUGAUCACCUAUUCAUCUGAAAAAGUUAAAUAGACAUGUAUUUAGAUAAGUGCUGAUAUAAUUCCAGACAAGUCCUUGUCAGAAUAAAGAAGUAAUUUGGAAGUUGGUAAGGGUCCAAUGUUUUGCCCGUGCCAUCUAUUCGCCCAUCCUGUUAUUAAUAAAAUGGUUGUUAAGCAAUUCCAGUAUGAUUUUUUUCAUACAAAUAAUACUUUGUACUCAGAUGAAGCUUCAAAAUAGGAAACUAAUAUUUUUCCUCGGAAAAUAAGCUAUUCAUCAGCAAUAUUGAAAUUGCACUAUAUUUUUCCCAGUGUGGGAUAUUCGAUUUUUACCAUUCAACAAUAACGAACAUAUUUCACCUUUAAAUUCCUGUGUAAACAGAGUAUUAUGUUAGAUUUGAUAGAAUAUAGAAAGAAACAAAUGUUAUCAAUCAGGAAUAUUGUUUGAACUUUUUAAGAAAUCAGAUUUUUCUGAAGUGGGCCAGUUAUUGGUACAGUACACUGUCAUUUCCCAGUGGUCGAAAUUAACACAAGCCUGCAAUUCCUUCACAAGUUAAAAAUGUCUUCCCGGCUUGUUUAAAUUCUGAAUUUUAUGUAGCAGGGCUUGUUAAAAUAUUUGAUGCCAAGCAAUAGAAUAAGAAUUCGGGCUUGUUCAUCCAAAAGUCUAAUUUGAUUGACUAAUUUCAGUGGAUUUAUCAUAUAUAAUCAUACAUGAUCUAUAAUCAUACAUAUCUAAAAUGAGGAGCCCAAAUUUUCAUUCAAUAAUAUUCUGUUUUUCAAGGAAAACCUCCACUUCUGGGCAAUAAGGGGUCUCCUUCCAGUAUAACUGUAAUAGCAUAAAAAUGGAUUUGUUUUAAAGUUACGUGUUGUGUGAACUAUUGUUCAGAUAUUUUUCAAAAUCUUCAUUUUUAAGAAAUUUGACAACAAACCUGCUACAUGUAUAUUGUUAUAGCCGAAACAAAUUUUUUUACAUAAAAUUUCAUUCAUAUAAACUAAUCUUAUACAUUUACCCUGCUCAAGCAUGGCUUUUAAGGUUUCAAAUGAAUGCCACCAUUUUUAGUAUCUAAAUCUCAUACCAAGUAUCUGAAAUGUCAUUUUCAUGUAACUUAAAGAAAGUCAUGCUUGAUAUGAAUCACAAUGAUCAAGUUCAUAAAUAUUGAUUGGAUGU